rnacentral:rRNA from 1 species
GACGAGGGGUGCGGGCGUUAUUCGUUUUGAUUGGGUGUAAAGGGUACGUAGGCGUCCUGGCGCAGUUUUGACCAAAAUCGCAGAGUGUUCCUAUGCAGUGGUCUCUUCUAAAAGCAGGAUCGAGUUGAGGAGUGGUUGGGAGAAUUUCCUAUGUAAGAGUCAAAUCUCGCCAGAUAGGAACGAAUGCCAGCGGGCGGAGGCGCCUUUCUAGCCUCAACUGACGCUCAGGUACGGAAGCUUGGGGAUCAAACGGG